UCACUUAUUGUAAUUUUCAUCUCUGCUUGCUUAAUCUUUAAAUCUUCUAUUUCUUUGCUCAGUGUUUCUUGUAAUUUAUCAAUAUUUGUCUCCAGUAUAUUUCCAAGAUCUUGAAUCCUCUUUACUAUCAUUAAUCUAAAAUCUUUUACAUGGAGGUUGGUAAUUUCCAGAUCACUUAUUUCUUUUGAUGUUUUUUUUUCUUCUUAUUCUUUUAUCUGAGUCAUAACUCUGUGCCUUUUCAUUUUGGAUAGUUUUUUGUGUGGUCUCCCUUUUUCCAGGCAAUAGGGUCAUAGCCUCUCUUGCUUCUGGUGGGUUUUCGGGGUCGCCUUGGCGCUGUCGCUGCUGGCCUAUUCCAUAGCCACAUCAAAGUAGGAUCCAAGACAUGUAUGCAACCUACACUACAGCUCAUAUCAACACCAGAUCCUUUACCCACUGAGCAAGGCCAGUAAUCAAGCCUGCAUCCUUAUGGACACUAGUAGAGCUCAUUUACCACUGGACCAUGACAGGAACUCCAGCAAUGUUAUUAUUAAUAGGCUAGAGCAGUCAGGAGAUGAAGAAAGUCUAAAAAGGACCAAUCAAGAGUUUAGCUACAUGAAAAUGAAAGACGGAUAUGGAAAUAAUGUGUAGCUGCUAAGAAGACUAUAUUAGAUUCUUAAAAUAAUUGUGUAAGUACUAGUUCUACCUAAACUAUGAUGCAAAGCUAUUUAACAACUGGCUAAGACUGAGACGGAUUGUGGGGGUAAAAUGAUAAAUACCAACUUUCUUUCAGAGUUUGCUUGGCCUUCAUUUAUUACCAAGUUUUAACCAACAAGCUAACGCAUUUCAGACCAUAAGGAGAAGCAGAUACUUUAAAUAACAUGGCUAUGACUAUUUUGAAAUAUACUUAUUUAAUCAGUUAAUUUUGUUUUAUUAUUUGUUAAAAUUAAUAUCUAUCUUCUCCAGUGGUAUGUUGCCAAUAGUUGAGCACAAUGAUAAUUCAAUAGUUAUUUAUGUUUACAGAUAUUUAAUUAUAUUUAUGCUGCUUUUAAUUUUAGAUAUAGGCUGCAGGUGUGGCUUAAAUCUGUCAUUGCUGUGGCUAUGGUGUAGGCUGGCAGCUGCAGCUCUGACUCAACCACUAGGCCCAGGAACUUCCAUAUGCCACUGGUGUAGCCCUAAAAAUAAAUAAAUAAAUAUAUUAAAAUGGUUUGGUCAUUGAUACGCCAUCUCUGUUUAAAAUAGAGUCGAUGUUUUUCUUUCAAAUCCAUAAUGUUAAUUUAUUGAACAUUCCUCCAAUAUUAAAAACAUACCAAGCUAAUUUUCUCUUAAAAUUGUACAGCUUGGGGAGGUUCCAUUGUGGCACAGUGGAUUAUGUAUUCAGUUGUAGAGCCUUGGGUCACUGUGAAUGUGUGAAUUCAAUUCUCAGACCUGUGCAGUAGGUUAAAGUAUCCAGCCUUGGCAUAGCUGCUGCAUAGGUUGUAGCUGUGAAUGGGAUUCAUUUUACCUGGCCCAGAAACUUCCAUAUGCCGCAGGAGCAGCCAUAAAUUACAAAACAUAAAUGCAUAGCUUGGCCUCUCAGGAAGCAUGAUAGAAGAUGAGGAGUUGAACUUGAGUACUGUUAGUUCUCUUUAUUGCCUUGAGGAAAUGUGGAGGACGGCAUAGAGUUUUCAGUGGUAUCUGUUCAGAAUUAGACUUAGGAAAAGGAAUUGGUUGUGGGGCCAAACUGCGUUAGUCUGUUUAAACACCUUAUCUGUUGCUACUUUAUAAAUAUUACACAUUAAUAACUUACUAUUAUUAUUAUAUGCAAAUAAUUAUUUCACAAAUUUGAUACUUUUUAAGGUGGAAAAACAGGAAUUAUUUUAGACUCCCUUCUUUUACCUUUUUUUUAUUACUCCCUUUUUUCUUCGAUUCCAUCUUAGAGGCUGCUUCCCACAACGGCAUUAUUUUUUUUGGCUCCACCCACGGCAUGUGGAAGUGCCCAGCCCAGGGAUCAUUUCCAAAGCACAGUUGUGACUUAUGUCACAGCUACAGCAACACCCGAUCCCUAACCUCCUGCACCACAGCAGGAAUUCCCACAGCAGCAUUAGUUUAGGCAUGCUGUAGAAGACAUGACCCAUUCACUACAGAAUAGCCAAUUAUAAUAACCCAUGGCAAUUAUUUGUGUCAGAAUUUACAACCAGGAAAUAUUCCCUGGUUUCUAACAAUCUGAUCUAGAUUUUACAUCAUGGUCAAUACAAAUCUUUGAUCUAAUUAUGCUCCUUCUCUGUUGUCUAUUAAGGAAAUUCAAAGCUUAAUCUGUGGUUGCUUUUUAGUAAUGGUAGAGGAUAUUAGGGCAUACAUUUUGUGUACUAAAAUCAUCUUAAUUUUUACUGAUUGUUGUAUUUGUUUAUCCCUUUGCACUAAUCUCUUCAUGUGUCUUUUUAACCUUGUAUUUCUAUAUGUCUUUCAUUUCAUGCCUAAACCAAGGUUAAUAAUUAUAAAAGAAAGUUAAAAAAAACUCCUUACUAUAUUUUAAAUUUAUUUCUUUAUUUUGAUUGAUCCUUAGUUUGUCUUUGUUAGACUGUUUAUCUAUAAUUUGGUAAGUUGCUUUAUAUACUUCGUGCAUACAUAUAUAUAUAUAUACACACACACACACACGUGUGUGUGUGUGUGUGUGUGUGUGUGUAAGGCUGUGUAAUACUGAAUCUAGAAUACAGAAUUUUUUCAUUCUAUCGAAAAUCAUAUAAAAGAUUUUAUUUAGCACCUCUUUAAGGUGCUUCUAGUUACAAUAUUUGUAGGACCUCUGAAAUAUGCUUUGUUAAAAUGUUGAGAAGGUUUUUUAAGUACAUACUUUAAAAAGUCAUAUUUCAAGACUAUGUUUUCUGACAGCUGUGAAAUAACAAUGUAAUUGCAUCAUAACUGUGAAAUACAACUUUUUCUUUCUUGUAGAAAGUGGAUAUUUUGCCAAUUCUGACAUGUGUACAACAGCUUCAGGGCAUAUCAUAUUUCCUGAUUAAUUAAAUUCCACUAUCUUCCUUGUCAGAUUCAUCACCACCUUAUCCAAAAGUUAAGUAGAUUAAAUACAUAAAACAAAAGUAGGUAGUUUGAAAAAUACAAGUAUACUUUCUUUUGUGAUUAUACAUUUAGAGGCAGCAUAUAUAGAAAAAUGUACGUUAAGUAAUUUUAUAAUAACCAUUUUGAUGAUUAAUUUUUCUUUUCUCAUCAACAGCUGUAAUAGACAGGAGAGGUUUCAUAUGAAUUGGUAGAAUUCUCCUCAAAUACUAGUUUAAAAGCAUCCAGUUAUCCCCAAAUGACUCUUUUAAUUUAGAAAUAUUACUGUGGAAGUUCAAAUUUUUAAAUAUCAAUGCAGGGGGAGAGUAUGUAAUUAAUCCUUUUAGGAAAAAAAAACCAGCUUUAGUUACAAAUUGUGCAUUAGUAAGUUUGGUCAUGUUAUCAUGAAAGAAAUAUAAAUGCAUUGAUUCAUAAAAUCUAAUUCAUUUGAUAAGCGCUUUAAAUUGAAGCAGAGGACAUUAGUUACAGCAGGUUUUGUAGUUACGUAAGAUCUUUUUGGGAUUAUAACAUAAUAAAAGACAGUAACUUUUGUGAGCA
rnacentral:lncRNA from 1 species